UCAUCCGGUAAUUAAAGUCACAACGGUGGAAGAUGAGCAUGCGUCCCAUUAGCUAGUUGGUAAGGUAACGGCUUACCAAGGCGACGAUGGGUAGGGGUCCUGAGAGGGAGAUCCCCCACACUGGUACUGAGACACGGACCAGACUCCUACGGGAGGCAGCAGUGAGGAAUAUUGGUCAAUGGGCGCAAGCCUGAACCAGCCAUGCCGCGUGCAGGAUGACGGUCCUAUGGAUUGUAAACUGCUUUUGUACGGGAAGAAACACUGAUUCGUGAAUCAGCCUGACGGUACCGUAAGAAUAAGGAUCGGCUAACUCCGUGCCAGCAGCCGCGGUAAUACGGAGGAUCCAAGCGUUAUCCGGAAUC
rnacentral:rRNA from 1 species